AGGCACUGCAGUCAAUAAAAGUAAAUUAAUAACUAGAGACAACAAACCCUGUUCCUCUGACUGGCAUAAAGCAAUCCUGUGCUGAAGGAAGAAAAAAUGUCACCGUUUAUGAGGAGGCAGGUGACCUGAGCUUUGAGCACCUCACUGGAAGGCUCCCACACUCCUCAGAAGCUGCCCGUGUCGUAAAGCAGAAGAGAAGGAAUCCAUCUGAUUUCCAGCAGCAAUAUCCAAAUGUUAUGGCAAACUGGUCCCUGUAUGAGAGAACAAACAGCUCAUGUUCAUCUCACACCAAUUUUGAUUCCUUGAUGAGGCUGUGGGAGACUCCAAGGAGCAUUUUGUAAAGUGGCCAGUUGCUCCUCCAUAGGAAAUAAAACAUUGAAACAUACUGCUAUAAAGGAUAUGACAUCUCUCCCAAUGGAUUUAUUAAGAAGACCACAAGAGUAAAGAGUUAUAAAACCUGA